rnacentral:rRNA from 1 species
GACGAACGCUGGCGGCGUGCCUAAUACAUGCAAGUCGAGCGAGACUCUUCGGAGUCUAGCGGCGGACGGGUGAGUAACACGUGGGCAACCUGCCUGUAAGACUGGGAUAACACCGGGAAACCGGUGCUAAUACCGGAUAAUCCUUUUCCUCUCAUGAGGAAAAGCUGGAAGUCGGUUUCGGCUGACACUUACAGAUGGGCCCGCGGCGCAUUAGCUAGUUGGUGAGGUAAUGGCUCACCAAGGCGACGAUGCGUAGCCGACCUGAGAGGGUGAUCGGCCACACUGGGACUGAGACACGGCCCAGACUCCUACGGGAGGCAGCAGUAGGGAAUCUUCCACAAUGGACGAAAGUCUGAUGGAGCAACGCCGCGUGAGCGAUGAAGGUCUUCGGGUCGUAAAGCUCUGUUGUUAGGGAAGAACAAGUACCGGAGUAACUGCCGGUACCCUGACGGUACCUAACCAGAAAGCCACGGCUAACUACGUGCCAGCAGCCGCCGUAAUAC